rnacentral:rRNA from 1 species
AGAGUUUGAUCCUGGCUCAGAUUGAACGCUGGCGGCAUGCCUAACACAUGCAAGUCGAGCGGCAGCGCGGGGAAGCUUGCUUCCCUGGCGGCGAGCGGCGGACGGGUGAGUAACGCGUGGGAAUCUACCCUUCGGUGGGGGAUAGCCCGGGGAAACUCGGAUUAAUACCGCAUACGCCCUACGGGGGAAAGUGGGCCUCUGAUGCAAGCUCACGCCGAAGGAUGAGCCCGCGUCCGAUUAGCUGGUUGGUGGGGUAAAGGCCUACCAAGGCGACGAUCGGUAGCUGGUUUGAGAGGAUGAUCAGCCACACUGGGACUGAGACACGGCCCAGACUCCUACGGGAGGCAGCAGUGGGGAAUAUUGGACAAUGGGCGAAAGCCUGAUCCAGCAAUGCCGCGUGUGUGAAGAAGGCCUGCGGGUUGUAAAGCACUUUCAUCGGGGAGGAAAAGCGUCGGGUUAAUACCCUGGCGUCUUGACGUUACCCGAAGAAGAAGCGCCGGCAAACUUCGUGCCAGCAGCCGCGGUAAUACGAAGGGCGCAAGCGUUAAUCGGAAUCACUGGGCGUAAAGGGCGCGUAGGCGGCCAGGUAAGUCGGGUGUGAAAGCCCUGGGCUCAACCUAGGAAUUGCAUCCGAUACUGCUUGGCUAGAGUUCGGUAGAGGGUAGUGGAAUUCCCGGUGUAGCGGUGAAAUGCG